GAAAAGUCAUACUUAGUUCAAUACAAGUGUUCCUACUCAAUAAAGGCAUACAACUGCUUGGUGAGGAUUACUCAGCUUACCUCUAGUUGUUUUGUUAACAAUCUAUGUAUUAAUGGUACUCCUUUUUCCACUUCCCUAGGCAGUAUCAAGACAGAAUACGAUUUGUCGCACCAACACUGAACCAAGACUAAGUUCAGCCCUUUGUAUGGAACUGCUGAAAGAGGAAACUGCAGCACUUGUUUCACAGUUGUGUGCAUUAUCUGGUAGGAUGGUGAGACUACCAUGUUUCCUUGGACAAGUAUCAGAACUUCAACUUGAACAAAGUGGGAUUAAGUUUUACUCAUUUUAGAAGAGCACUCCUAUCCAACAUAUGGACAAGACAGCUUGAAGAAGCAUGCUUCUUAAAUUGACGAUUUAUUCUGUUUAGGAACAGUCAAUAAAUACCAAUCUUCUAGCUUCAGUCUGGAAAUCCUUCCCCAUCAAAAAUCACUUAUUUGUGAUGUUUUUUCCUGGCAUAAACUCCAUUGCCAGCAAUGGAUGUACGAGACAAAGAAAUUAAUAAAUACAAACAGCACUUUUCUAAACAUACCUCCUCUUUUAAAGGCAUGAUACAGAUUUACUAAACAAAUCUCAAACAAGUUCUUCACAGAAGAAAAUUUUGCUACAAGCUGUCUUUGAACAUUGUUUUCUUCACUAAUGUUGGUAGUUUAUUUCAUGGAGUAUGGUAUUUUUGAACAGCAAUAAUGAAUCAUUUAAAAACAAGCCUUUUUCCCCCCUUUUCCUUUGCCAAAUGUAUGCUGAGACAUGUAGCUGGUACUGAACUGUAUGAAUUUAAGAGUGGUGUGCCUCUUGUCAAGCACUUCAUGGCAAACAUGAAGAAACAGCAAUAUGGUACUUUUUUUACUAGGGAUCUGGGGGAUUUAUUUAUUCAUCUUGAUUUUAAACCACUGUUCAAGUAUUAAAGGUAUAAAAUUUAACUGUAACAGAUGUUUUGUGUAACUUUCUGUGAAGUGUAGAAACACAAUGGAAGAUUCCUGUUUCUGAUGAAAAUAAUUUUCAAGUAGUUAAAUUUGAAUAUCCCUCUAAACUCCAUUCAUAUCAUAUUAAAAAUGUGUAUAAAAGCAUGAGACUACAGAAAAACAAUUAACAUAACAGAGUUAAUCUUGAAUAAGUUUUUCCACAACUGUAUUUUACAAAUAACUGAACUCCCGCUUUAGCAAAAGCAAAAA